CCUACGGGGGGCAGCAGUGGGGAAUAUUGCACAAUGGAGGAAACUCUGAUGCAGCGAUGCCGCGUGAGGGAAGAAGGUUUUCGGAUUGUAAACCUCUGUCUUAAGGGACGAUAAUGACGGUACCUUAGGAGGAAGCUCCGGCUAACUACGUGCCAGCAGCCGCGGUAAUACGUAGGGAGCGAGCGUUGUCCGGAAUUACUGGGUGUAAAGGGAGUGUAGGCGGGAUGGUAAGUUAGGUGUGAAAUGCGGAGGCUCAACCUCCGAGCUGCACUUAAAACUGCUGUUCUUGAGUGAAGUAGAGGUUG
rnacentral:rRNA from 1 species